rnacentral:rRNA from 1 species
UACGAAGGGGGGCUAGCGUUGUUCGGAAUUACUGGGCGUAAAGCGCACGUAGGCGGCUUUGUAAGUUAGAGGUGAAAGCCCGGGGCUCAACUCCGGAAUUGCCUUUAAGACUGCAUCGCUAGAAUUGUGGAGAGGUAAGUGGAAUUCCGAGUGUAGAGGUGAAAUUCGUAGAUAUUCGGAAGAACACCAGUGGCGAAGGCGGCUCACUGGACUGGUAUUGACGCUGAGGUGCGAAAGCGUGGGGAGCAAACAGG